GGGGGGGCAUGUCCGUUGCGAGCAUGUAUAGUUGAAGGGUGUAGCCCAGAAAUUUCGGAAUGACGAAAAAAAAUUCCGAAUAUUUCAUCGCUUACGAAGCCACAAAGGUAUUUGCUAUCCGGAAAAUGAAUACGCAAUGGACCAUUUGCAUUAUAGACUAAAUUUUGAUAUAGGUUUCGUUGCGAAAUGUUGUAAAAUGGCCUUCGAAAUUUGCAUUUUUCAGUUAUUUUAAACUACAAACGGGAAAUUGAUGCCUCAACACCCGAUUCAGCUGUCGAUUUCCCGAUUUUACAAAUAUAGCAAUUUAUGCUGAAUUAGAAAGGAUACCAUUAGUUGGACAUAUACAAAUUUCUUUGCAUGUCGUUAAAUGCUGGCUACACAUUGAGGAUGCAAGUUUUUAUAUCUGCCUGGCGAUGCUGCUGGAGUGUGUAUGCAUAUAUUAAUCUUCAACCAGCAAUUUGUACGGAUUAUUUACUGAAAAUGUGCAAAUUGGAAUGUUGGAAAUCUUAGGUACUUUACAGUCCCUCAUGACACUCACUCAGGGAAAUUUUUGCCAUUAUUUGAAAAAUACACUUAAAUUAAUGAAGAGUUUAAGAAUUAUUUAAAAAAAAAACUGAAAGAAAAUGGAAAACUAAAAGACUUCAGCAAAAUGUUAAACACCGCCUGGCUGUUACAAAAUUAAGAAUUUCUGUGCAUAGAUUACCGACUCCAAAUCAGGAAGGUUUGCUA